GCUGGGGUUGGGGCUCAGAGGUAGAGCACUCGCCUCGCACAUGAGAGACCCUGGGUUUGAUCCUCAGCACCAAUG
rnacentral:tRNA from 1 species